rnacentral:lncRNA from 1 species
GUCCUCGCGAAGGGUGCGGAGCACCCUUACUCGCACUCGCACUCACACUCGCGCACGCGUGGCGUGGGCGAUGAGGCGCAAUGUGGCACUUUGAUGGCGCACUUUGCACGCUCGCAUCGCCGCGAGCCGCUUGAGAGCCGCCUUUGUAUUUUUGACCACGUGCGCGUGGUGGAUCACAGAGGCUGCAAGGACCAAGUGGUGAAGUGGCGUGCAAGUAAGAGGCGCGUGACGUGGCAGUCUGCGCGCGAGUACAAGUGGCACGAAGGCGCGCGGUUGCGCAUGGUGCAUGGCCCUGAUGUGACAUGCGCGGCGCACCAGAGUGAGCCAAAACGGCGCGACUGUGUGGCGUGCUCGUAUAGGCUCACUGGUGAUUUUGGCACACGCGCGCAGGCGUGCAUGCACCUGAGUCAGUGUGGCGCAUGUGCGCAUGACAGUGAGCAAGAUGGACGCAGCGCGCAUGAGCAUGCAGACCUGCGCACGCAAGGACGCGCGCGCACUAGUGUGUCUUGCGCGCGCGCAGAAGCUUCCAGC